GUUCACUAUUGUUCUUUACUUUGUUGAAAAUGCAUAAAGACUGGAAACUAAAAUAUAUUUUAGAAACGUCUGCAGCAUAAAAAUAACAUCCAGGGGCUUCAGACUAUUAAAAAGCACUGCUCUGUUCCUUCCUUCCUUCCACCUCUCUGCAUCCAGGUUCCUGUAAUGUUCAAUUUUGGUUUGAAGCAAUGGCUGAAAGACAAACUGCUUUCCAACAGGUCUUCCAUGAGAGCUGGGAGAAGGCCACUGACACAGCUAUGGCACGGUGGACAGAGGACAGGAGCUGGAGACCUGCAGACCCUGGCUUUAGUCAAAACAACAGACUUUGAAAAUGGUUCUGGACAAAGCGGAAGUCAAGGAUUCCAAAGCUGCGCAGAAUGGUUCCUGUGUCCAGCGCAGCGCUGGGAAGGUCCUGGCUCUGUUCCGGUGGAGCCUGGGACAUUCGAAGGCCUCUGCUGACUUGGAAAAGAGCAGAACUGCCCAAGCUUGCAUCUCACCAAUGUGAUCUGAAGGGAAGUUGGACAUGUAAUAUAUUUUAUUCCUAUUUAAAAACACAUUUGGAAUAAGGCUGCACCAGCAUCAGCACUGUAUUUAUAUUAAGAAAGAUGGAUUAUGAAAAAAAGGCUGCAUGACUUUUGCCCCUGACAAUCUCUUGAGGUUUUUGUGGUGGGGUGGCCCCGACCCUCUAUGAAUCCUUGGCUGUUCUGCCUCCUCCUGCAAUAAAGCCCCGUGUGCCCCUGAGGUCCGGCCAUUGCUGGAAAUGUACAGGUGACGGCUGGGGCCUGAGUUCUCCUUAGAAGCUGCAGGGUGUGCCUGACAGUUCUCCAGGGAGCAGGCAUUCAAGAAACCCCCUGAAGUUUGCCCAGGACUUUGGAAUACUAUGAAGUUCAUAUAUGGUUCUGCCGCCUGCUUCGCAAGCGCAAGGCCCCGAGUUCGAUCCCCAGUACAAACAAACAAACAAUCCCCCGAAACACACAGACCAACCUGAGCAGAUUUUCUACUGCAAGUGUUACUAGGAUUGCUUUGAUUUUCUUUCUAUUUUCCUUUUCUUACUUUGGCCGUGGAUUGAAACGGAGGAGUUUGGUGGGAAGAGUGGCGGCUGGAAUUCUGGGGCAGCUCGGGAGGGCUCUGACUCCAUCUCACCACUCAGAGGUGGGUGAAAGCCAGCCAGUUCUUGUUUCCUGUUUCAUCUCAGCCCGGUCUCCCUCUCAGGUGGCUCUGCAGACGCCUGGCCUUACGCACACAGGAGGCGGGGUGCGGGCACCACCUCCCCAGCACUCAGCCCCCAGGGGGCCACAUCACGUAGGCUGUAAAAAGUGUGGAAGCCGCAAUUUCCACCAAUGCAAGGGCCCCAGGCAGAGAAGCAGCACCUGUUAGACGAGCGCUCGCUCGGGGACAGACGGGAGUCCCGCGGGUGCUGUAGAGCGAGGACUUGAGACCACGCAGCGCAGGGCCCUGCACCGCAGAGGACUGGAGGCUGCAAACCAGUGUCCAGACACCAGCAACCUCACCCCAUCUCAGUGCAGUGGGGCUGCGUGGGAAGGAGCCAGCCCCCUUUCCCGUUCCCUCUCCCCUGCCUGUUUUCCCACCCUCCUUUUCAGCCCACAGGUUUCCCGAAGUCCAGUGCCGAGAAGUCAAGAGGGGGCACGUGCGGGACACCAGGCAGGCUUCCUUCUGUGCAGCCAAAGGCUGAAGGGAG
ensembl:lincRNA